GGGGCUCCGCGUCUGCCCAGCUGGGGGCCGCUGGGGCCCAGAAGGGGACUCGACUGCCCCAGCCCCACGGCAAGGCCGCCCCCGCUUCCAGCUGUGCUGUUGGGGUACUUCGAGGCUCUCCUCUGCUUCCCCUCUCCUCUUUCCCUCUCUUCCUCUCUCUCAAUUUCUUCCCCCAACUUUCUCCUCUCUCUCUGUCUCUCCCGCUUCGGCCCACCGUCCCCCCAUCACCUCCCCCCUGAGGACCUGAAGGAUCCAGUGACUUUUUCCUUCACCAAGUGGGAGUUAUCCACAUCAAGCAUUUCACAACGACACAUCAAGAAAAGUAGGCAGGUUCAAGUCAACCAUGAAAUGGUCACUUUUUAACCCCGUCCUGUCCUCAUUAGGGAAAUGCUCAAACACAGUCCGUUUUCAAAGAGCGCUCUUAAUGAGGCGAGCUUGCCAAGUCUACCAGCUGCAGCCCCCGUAAACCAGGAGCUCAGAGAAGAAAGGCGCUGGGGGCUGGGGGGUUGAGGAGGCCAGGGAGAGGGGGGCGGUGGAUGUGGGAAGACAGGUAAAGUCGCGGAAAUUUCGAGAACUCCCCGAGUUAACCCUUUAGGGCACACACCCCUGGGAGCAGCCUUCCUGCUCCCCCUGCUCCCCCGGAGGCAAAUCCUCUAGUCGCGUUCUGACAACGUUAAUUUCCUUUGUGUGGGUCAUUCCUUCUUUGUGAAAAGCCAGGAUAAAGUUGACAGUCUUUAGAGAUGAAAGAAAUGAGGUGACAGUAGGGGUUAAUCCAGAUAAACACUCAUUUCUCUCAGAAAUUUUUAGGCCAUCUCAUCUGAGAUUAAAGAAAAAAAAAAUACCAAAGCAUCGCUUGGUACUGCAGGUUACACUGCAUCCCUUUUCUCACCCUCAGACCAGAGUCUGAGGGGAGAGGGGCGGGGAAGCGCUACUGAUAAUACCAGCUUUAACUACUGGAGUUUCCCUUUGAACAAAUUUUCAAUUUAACCAGAGUUAAUUUAGCAUAAAAGACAUUCCCCUUGGCACGAAUGCACUCUUGUCCUUGAAACACACCUCGCUGAAUGCCCCGACUCUUAGAGCAGCCAUUAUUUCGGGGUCUCUUUAAAAAUCGAGCGCCCAUCUCUCUCUUUCUCUCCCUCCCUCCCUCCCGUCUUCCCUCCCUCCUCACCACACCACCCCCAGUGAAAUCCUGGCACCCAGAGAGCGCUCCUUUCAGCCAGAGAUCCCAGAACCAGCCGCUGUCCCCUGGCAAAAGAGGCCCAGUGCUGAGCCCUGGGCAAGUGUCUGCAGACAUCGCUACCCCUCCUCCCUUGUUAGUUUCCCUUACCAACAGAAACCAUUUCCUUUUGCCACCCAAACUAGGUUGCAUCCAAAAGUUUUCUCACAAGCUUAAAAAAGAAAAAACGAAAAGUUGACAACUGUGACACAGAGGAGGCCGAAAAAGCUGCAGCAGCACCAGGGGGGAAGAAGCAGCCGCAGACCCAGGUCUGCAGGACACACUGAAGAACUCCCCCAGGUCAUGCAAGGGAGAAAAUGAGCCUCUCUACUGGCCUCUAGCAGGGAAGCUAAAAUUUUCCCCCUUUUUCCUGCAAGUUUCCUGAACCCCAUGACUCUGAUUUCAGGUCAGAGAGGAAGGCUUUAUUGUUAUUAUGCUGUAUACUUUGCAUAUGGGGAGUCCCUGAGGGAGCGUUGUGAUGGAGUAAUUAUUGUGAGCCUCUUAUGGGCAGGCCAGGACUUCAGUGUAGCAGAGGGAAUUCAGUCCCACCUGCACAGUGGUCUGUGGGCCCCCCCGCCAGCUCCUACUUUCUCCUGACAAACAGCGCCCUCCUCCUUUGCCCAGGAGUUGGUGAGCAGAACUCCUCCUCUGGGCUGAGCCACUUCCAGGAUUCUUAAGGGGUUGGGGAAGUGACCCAACAUUUAAGAGGAUUGAAAUUCUACACGUGGCAUUUCUGACUUAAUUCCUAAAUGGCACUUCCCUUAAGCAUGUGGAAGAUAAGAAACUUUGCUAAAAAUUUUAACUUGAAAGACUAUUGGUUUAAGAGAAAUGAAAACUAUGUUCACAUAAAAACUUGUCCAUGAAUGUUCACAGCAGCAUUAUUCAUAAUAGCCAAAAAGGGGAAACAAUCCGUAUACCUAUCAACUGCCGAAUGGACAAACAACCUGUGGUAUAUCCACACAAUGGAAUACUAUUUGGCAAUAGAAAAGGAAUGAAAGAUUGAUACCUGCUGCAAGAUUGAUGAACCUUAAAACAUUUUGCUAAGCGAAAAAAGCCGGUCACAAAGGAACACACAUAGUAUAAUUCCACUUAUUUGAAAUUUCUAAAAUAGGCAAAUCUAUAGAGACAGAAAAUAAACUAGUGGUUGCUGGGGUCUGGGGGUCAGAGUGGGGGCAUUGGAAGAUGACACUAUAGUGGUGCAGAAGUUUUUUGGGGGGUGGCUGAUGAAAAUGUUCUAAAAUGAAUUGUGGUGAAGGUUGAACAACUCGGUGAAUGUACCAAAAACCAUUGAAUUUUGCACUUUAAAUGGGUGAAUUGCAUGGUGUGCAAACUAUAUCGCAAUAAAGCUGUUAAUUUUUUUAAAUGAUACUUUUUAAAAGACCAUUGGUCUUUAUCUCUCUUGCUGAAGCCGAUCACCUUGGGAUAAAUGUGUCUAGGCUUAAAAACAAAUGUUACGAGCUAAGUAAAAUGAGAAUGUGAAAAAUAUUGAUUUUCCCUUAGGUGGAGAGAGUGAUUUGCAGAUCCAUGGAUAGCCAUAAUACUUGUACUUGUAACUGCUCUGAACUUUGCUGAAAAUUUUUUCCUUAGCCUGAAAUCAUUAAAAUAUGGGAUACUGAAGUGGCUUUGUUGCUUUUCUCUUCCCAAUAUUCCAUUUCCCUUCCUUGGGUAAUAGCACCCUGAUUUUCUCUUAAGGAACGUAGUUCCUGAGGUUUGAAUAUUGUUGACCCUGCCUCUUAGGCUCUGUGAUUCAGGCCUGAUCAAUCAGCCAAUUCUAUCCAGUGGUGUGUUGGAGCUGGCUCAGACCAGCUCAUCCAAACCAACUGGUAAAUUUUCAGGAAUGUUGUGAGCCAAUUGUUAAACAUAGUCACUAUUAAAAUUUAAAGUAUAUGAAUUUAUAAUUAAAUAAAUUACAUUUAAAGCAAAGUUAAUAAGCACACAAAACUCAUCACUUCCUAAUUAUUUAAGUACAUUUUACUGUUAUCUUUGCUUUUGAGGUUACUUACAUCUAGGGGAUCUGUAUGGUGGAAGUAAUGUACAAUGAUGUGCUGCUAUGCAUCCCUUCCCAAUUCCAGGUUUGGUGACUUUCCAUUGGUAGCUUGAAGUUGGCCAUGGUGGCAGUAUUUAUACUACAGAUAUAGAGUAUCUAGAAUACUGUAUAUCAGGGCUUCCCCUUUUCUGUCAAGACGAGUGUUCAACAUUUACUAGGUGUAGUGAGUUGAAUGGUGCCCAAAGAUGUGUUUGCAUCCCAACCCCUGGAAUUUGUGAAUAUGACUUAUGUGGCAAAAGGGUCUUUGUAGCUGUAAUUAAGUUAAGGAUCUUGAGAUGAGAUCACCACGGAUCAUCCCUGUGGGCCCUAAACACUAUCAUAUGUGUCCUUAUUAGGUGAGGCAGGGGGAGAUUUGAUACGCACAGAGGAGACACACAGAUAAGAGGCGGCGGCAGCGUGACCUUUCAGAUAGAGAGUAGAUUGGAUUGCUGCCACCACAAACCAAGGAAUGCUUGGAGUUACCAAAAGUUGGAACAGAAUCUCGCAUAGAGCCGCUGGAGGGAGCACAGCCCCAGUGACACCUUGAUUUUGGAUAACUGGCCUCCAGAAAUGUGAAAGAAUAAAUUUCUCUUGUUUUAAGCCACCAAGUUUGUGAUAAUUUGUUAUAGCAGCUGCAGGAAACUAGUAUACCAGCAUACCACUGCAGCACUACUAUUUGGCUCAGGGACGGUCAUGUGACCCAAGCCAGGACAGGGGAGGUCAGUUUCUAUUGUAAAACAAACACUCUCCUUCUCCUGGGGAUUGUGAGGGCUUCCAUCUUUGCCACCAUAUUUGCCUAAGAAUGAAAACAGCAGAGAAAGUGGUAAAGUUGGGAUCAAGAAAGAAAAAGAGGCAGCCAUUCCAGACAACAUUGUCUGAGAGGCUAGAUCUAUUCUCCUACUGGAAUUUUUUGUUACAUGAACAAAUUAAUUUCUUUUUAAAUCAAGUUCCUAAACAAUAUAGACAUGUUAAUUUUCAGAGAAUAUUUAAAAGUGCUCAUUUGCACAGGCAGGAUUGUAAAUAACAUACAAUUGUUAUCAUUUUAUCAGUUACUAUUUAAAUCAGGCAUGACUAACAGUCAGGAAAAUAUACACCAAACAGUGAACGAUCUGAGAUCUGCCUGAAUUCAAUCAUGGUCAUUUGUUCCACAAACACUUAUUAAGUCCAACCAUGUCAAAAGGAUUCUAUUCAGGACGGAUAUCCAUCCGUUUAAGAACUUACAAUUUAUUUGCCAGUCAGGAGUUUAGUAUAGCUCAUAGUUAUUGAGAUCACCGACAGUAUUAACUUCUCAUUAUGUAGUCCAUAUUUUUCUAGACAGUACUAAAUUCAUGUAAUUUCGUUAUUUUUCCGAAAGAGAAUUUGUUUAAUGCACAAUUAAAAUAUUUUAACUUCUUUAUGAGAUUAGAUUUAAGUGCUUUCUCAAAUCAUAAAAAAAUCUUUUGGCAAAUUGAAUGUUUUGGGUUGGUAAAAUAUAGUGAUAUUCAGUGACAUCGUACCUUUGGUCAUUUUGUACCUUUCAGAAAUGUUUAUUUUCCAUUAUCGUUAGUAAUUUUUUAGUGUGGACAAGCACAUUUCUGAAAGGAGCAGAAAAUCCUAGUGACAGACAUCCUGAAUUGAACUAUUUUUAAAGUAAAAAAAUCUUAUUACCUUCAGCAUUUCUAUCUUUAACAAUUUUUCCAAUUCAAGAGAUUUAAAAUUAAUUUUAUUCUCUAUUAUCCUAUUUCUUACCACUACUUUCAAAUACUUUUGUUUUUUGAUUAGCACAUUUUGGAUGAAUUCCCAGUCAACUUUUUAAAUCUAAUUAAACUGAGCUAAGUCUAACUCAGAUAGCAUUUAUGGUCAGUUUCCUGAUAGCUGAUUAACUGGCAGGUCAUCUUUGUGAAUCCUAAAAAAAGAAAAAAGUUUCCUGAGGGUUGCUUGUUGCUAAAAGAACCAUUACUAAUACCGAUGUCACUAGCAUCAGUAAACUAAUGCCCAUUUGUCUUGACUUGAAAUGGAAAUGAACUUUCAAAUGCAAAUAUCCAAAUACUAUUCUUUAGCACUUUAUAUUUGCUAGUAGCAUUACUUAUCAAAAAGAGAAUUGUUUUGAGUGUUUUCAAGGCAAAAAAAAAAAAAACCACACACACCUAACAAACCAUCAAACACAUAAAGCAGCAGCAAGCAAACCACACACACACACACACACACACACACACACACACACGGCAUAG